rnacentral:rRNA from 1 species
AUGGAGAGGGUGGCGGCGGGGAGCAGCGAGCAGGGGACGCCCGACAGCGAAAUGGGCGACGGGGACAACGACAGCGUCGGCUACGGCACGGAGAUGGAGCUCGACGCCUCGGCCCCCGCCCCCGCGUCCGCCUACCCGGCGCGCCCCAGCGUGCACGACGGGGUGGACCCGUUCGAGGGCAUGGAGUUCGACGACGAGGAGGACGCGUGGAUCUUCUACAACCUCUACGCGCACCGCGUCGGGUUCAGCACCCGGAUCAGCGUGAUGCACCGCUCCCGCCGCGACGGCUCCAUCAUGUCGCGCCAGUUCGUGUGCGCCAAGGAGGGCUUCCGCACCUACCGCGGCAAGCACGAGCAGGCCGCCGCCCUCGCCUCCAGCCCCGGCGCCCCCGCCGGCGCCGACGACGGCGGCCGGGGCGCCCGCCGCACCCGCGCCGUCACCAGGGUCGGCUGCAAGGCCAUGAUCCGGGUCAAGAAGCAGGACGGCGGCAAGUGGGCCAUCACCAAGCUCGAGACCGCGCACAACCACCCCCUUGUCCCGCAGAACCAGGCGCACUGCCUGCGCCCGCACAAGCCGCUCUCCGAGUGCGGCAAGCAGCGCUCCUCCUCCUCCUACGGGGUCCGCCGGAAUGGAGGUAUGUUCCUCGCCAUUGAGCCUGCGCCGCCACCACCGCCCCCCACACCGCCUGUUCCUCAGACCGGCAUCAUCCCUCAACCAGCAGUGGUUCCCCAUUACAUCGGGGACGGCAUCGGAAAUGCCACUAGAGUGAUCCUGGAUUAUGUCAAGCGCAUGCAAGCUGAGGACCCGGCCUUCUUCUACGCAAUGCAGUUCGUCGAGGGCCAUCCGGUGGGGAAUGUCUUCUGGUCCGAUGCCAGAGCGAGGACGGCGUACAAGGACUUUGGGGACGCCGUUUUCUUGGACGACCACUGCAAAAGAAGCAAGUAUGAGCUCCCUCUCGUCACAUUCACCGGAGUCAAUCACCAUUGCCAGCCAGUCCUAUUUGGGUGUGCAGUCAUCAGGGAUAACUCUGAGGCGUCGUUUGCUUGGCUCUUUGAAACACUUCUCUUGGCAAUGUCUGGUCAGCACCCUGUCUCUCUCACCAUAGAGUAUGAUGGCGCCAUACAAUCAGCUGUCCACAAGGUUCUUCCUCACACCAGGCACCGAUUCUGCAGGUGGCACAUCUUGAAUGAAGCCCAGUGUAAGCUAUCAGAUUUCUUAAAUGCAUUCCCGUCCCUUUAUGAUGAUCUUGUCAACUGCAUCAACAUGUCUGACACAAUUGAUGAGUUUGAAGCAAAUUGGGAGGCAUUGAUUUCCAAGGUUGGGUCUGGGCAUAACGAGUGGCUUGAUUCAAUGUACAAUUGCCGGCAGCAGUGGGUCCCGGUAUACUUGAGGGAUACGUUCUUUGGAGACGAGCCAUCAAGGCAGGGGUGUAUGAGCAGGAGCUCGUUUUUUGAGUCUCACAUCACUGCUAAAACCAAUUCACAGUCGUUCAUUCAGCACUACGAAAAAGCUCUCGACAGUUGUUAUGAGAGGGAGGUGAAGGAAGAGUUCGAAACAAAGUAUUCGCUUCCAGAUAUCAAGACACCAUCUCCUAUUGAGAAGCAAGGAGCAGACUUGUACACAAGGACACUGUUUUUGAGGUUCCAACAGGAAUUGAUUGGUGCCUCUGUUUCUACUCUGGAAGUGGCAGAGCAGGAUGGUAAGGCUUGCACGUAUAAAGUGACCACAUCUCAAGGAAGUGAGAAGCCUCGUAUGGUUCAAUUCAAUUCUUCUGAGUGUUCUGCAAAAUGUACCUGUCAGAUGUUCGAAUGUCUUGGUAUUGUCUGUAGGCAUAUUCUUACUGUCUUUGGUGCACAAGGUGUAUCUGCGCUUCCUUCUCAGUACAUCAUGAAAAGAUGGACCAAAAAUGCCACAGAUAGAAGCUCGGACAAGAAACCUGAUGAAGUUAUUAGAGUUAAAGAGCUCAAGGAGGAGCAAAGAAGUACUGUCGAGGAUGGCGAGCAAUCUCAGACAUGGCGCUACAACAGUUUGUGUCGUGAAGCACUUAGGUAUGCUGAAGAAGGAGCAUCAUCUGCAGAGGUUUAUAUUGUGGCGAUGCAGGCUCUUCAAGAGGCUGCUAACAAAGUCAAUAUGGCCAAGAGAGGGAUUGGACAAGUAGCAGCACCAUUGGCAGUGAUGCCAAUUACAGCGCAGCUGCCAGAAUGUUCUGGAAAAAUCCAGGAUAGUUUUGGUCAGCAAAAGAAGAGAAAAAGGAAUUCAAACAACUCAAGAGAGAACUCCACACCGAAUCAGUUUAUGCAUAUGCAGCAACCUAGUAAUUACCUCUUUGUUGGUCCCAGUACAUCAGGUGGUUCACAAGGGCCUAGUCAGCUAGUUGCUGCAAUUCCUGUUUCUUCCUGUGCACAACAUGGGCAAACAUCGGGUGCACAUAACUCAACCGAUGGCAACAUGGCAACUGCUUCUGUAGCUGUUGACAAGUUUCAUGGAUUCUCAGACCGAGAUGCAUCAACAACAGCACCUUCUUCAGGAAAUGUUGUGCAAGCAGGAGAAACUAAAUCUUCAGGGGUUGCUUCACAAAUUAACGAGAGUCAUGAACUGUCCCAAGCUAAUGGAAACAAGGGAAGCAGCGUAAAUUCUACUGCUUCACCACAGCUUGUGACCGUUCCAAUUGGAUUCUGCCUGCCCUCCAUGGACAAGAACAAGAUGUCUACUGCUGGGAUGAAUUCUACAAACUCCGGCGGCAUGAUGAAUAAUGGCAAUGCAUCAUUUGAUCUUCGCCAAUGUCAAUCUUCUGCCCAAGUGCCUGCCACACACUCAGAGGCAAAAACACUGGCAGAAAACACCGAUUCACGGGCAACUACUGCUGACAACUCUUCUAUAAGGGCUGCAGCCAUCGCGGCGGGGGCGCGCAUUGCAUCUCCAUCUGAUGCAGCUUCAAUCAUAAAAGCAGCACAGUCGAAAGAUGCCAUCCACAUCAGGCCUGGGGAAAGCCUUCCAAAUCAGCUGAAACCAUUAGCCCCCAGGCCACUCUCCUCACUAGCACCAGCUAGCGGACCCAGCUCGGCGCAGCAUCUGCAGCAGCCUGGACAAAACAGCUUUGGCGAUUCUACCGCAGCCAAGGAAGCGAUUUUCGGCUCCACAGAUGGCAGUGAUGGCGAUGAGUACGAAGACGAAGACACUGACGAUGACGACGACGAGGGGCUAACCGGCGAUGAAGGGGAGCAAGAGUGA